CUUUCUAGUUUUUUUUUUAUGGUUUCUAUUUUCCCUGGCAGAGGAUGGUGGGCGCAAAUCUGAUCCAUGUGUGAGCCAGCUGAACUCAGGAGCGUUCCCAGGGAAGUGACGUUCCACAGCCGCCCCCGACCCUGGCCUUGAGAAGCCCUGCUUGACACACUCAACUGGGGACAACAGAGCAAAUUCCAAGACAAAGUUUCAAGCUUGAUGACUCAGAGGCCUACAGAGGACAUUUACGGGCGGGCACCAUACCGUAUUACUGAUUGAUCCUGAGAUCCUCCUACUACCUGAUAUACGUGCCCCCGGUCCAUGCGGUGGCUGGAGCUACUGGAAACGGUCUCUCAAAAUCUCUGGUGGCCAAACAUGUGCAGGGUGGGCAAGAACCCCAGAACUUGUAUGGGAAUCACUGUGUGAGUGCUGAGUCCCCCUCCUGUGAAUCAUACACACAAUUAAAUAAAAUUCAAAAGGAAUCUCAUCCCUCCCUGCUCCCUCUCUGCGCCCUCCCAGACCUGCCCCUGUGUGUGGGGACCUGGGGGAGGGGGCCUUACAGGAGACUCCUGGCCCCAGCAGGGCAGCUGGCCUGCCGAGGAGUGGGGGACAGUUCUGUACCUGCCUGGCAGUGGAGAGAGCUCCCCCGUAUUGUGCCUCCCCCCCCCCCACCACACACACACCGGGAACGGCACUGGGACCAUGGACCUGGGAAAUUGGUUGACUUCCGAAGGAAAGC
rnacentral:lncRNA from 12 species